UGGGAUCAGGGUUGGUGUGCUUUUAAGUUAACUAGUAAAAUACCCGCGCGAUGCUGCGGAUCUAAAAUAUUUUUAUAAUAAAUUUUAUUUUUUAAUAUUUUUAUAUAAUUUUAUAACUCUAAUUUUAUUUUUUAAUAUUUUUUUUAUACAUCACUUUAUUUUAUAAAGAUUUAUAUGAGAAACAUUUGAGAUAAAUCUGUCAAAAUAAUUUUUAAAAAAUCAAUAGAUAGAAGGGAAGUAAAUUUGUAGAAUAAAUU
rnacentral:lncRNA from 1 species